rnacentral:lncRNA from 1 species
UGUUGUUAAUGAUGAUUAUUUUACAAAAUCAUCACAUACGGGUUUGUACUUGAAGCAAUGUCAUAGUUCUUUAUACUUGAAGAAGAAGAAAAAUAAAAUAAUGAGGUCUCAAGGUAAGAGAAAAGUCAUGUCUUGGUCCAUGUUCUUUUUAGAGGCUGAUUCAAUCACGGUGAGUCGGAGAUGUUCUUCUCAGAGGCUGACUCAAUCACAAUGAGUCGGAGAUAUUUUGAUGCAUAUAAAGAUAAAAAAAAAUAUGUCAAUAGAUACUCUUUUAUACCAGAUUGAUACACUUUUUUAAAAGAGAGAAGGGGAACCUUUGCAUGCACAUACAGUCUCUACACCCAAUUGAUACUCUUUUAUACCAGUUUGAUACACUUUUAUACCACAUUGAUACACUUUUUUUUUUUUGAAAGAAGGGGAAUCUAUGGAUGCAUAUGCUGUCUUUAUACCCAUUUAAUACAUUUUUGUGUCACAUUGAUACACUUUUAUAAUACAUUGAUAUAUUUUUUUAAAAAGGGAGAGGGAAUUCUUUGCAUGCACAUGCAAUUCCUAUACUCAGUUGAUACUCUUUUAUACCACAUUGAUACACUUAAAUUCAACAUCAGAUAUCCACUGACCUCCGUAUUUUAUCAUUANNNNNNNNNNNNNNNNNNNNNNNNNNNNNNNNNNNNNNNNNNNNNNNNNNNNNNNNNNNNNNNNNNNNNNNNNNNNNNNNNNNNNNNNNNNNNNNNNNNNNNNNNNNNNNNNNNNNNNNNNNNNNNNNNNNNNNNNNNNNNNNNNNNNNNNNNNNNNNNNNNNNNNNNNNNNNNNNNNNNNNNNNNNNNNNNNNNNNNNNNNNNNNNNNNNNNNNACAGUGAAGGUUAGCUAGUGAAAUUAGUUUGUGGCUAUUUAUAGGGUAUUUAAUUUUGGGUGCUAUUUUUAUGAUAUUAUUUUAGUUUUAGGUGUUAUUGUUGUCCUUUUUCCUAAUAUUUAUCCAGUAGUAACAGAUUAAUACAAAACCCAAUAUUAAUAUAAAAAACAUAACUCUUCAAUUGCUUCACUUUAUAUUUAACUUUUCAAGUUUUCAGAGAGUUCUCAUUAUUUCCUCAUCUUACUUUUAUCUUACUUUUCUCAUUCUCCUCAUUCGUCAAGUUUUGAUUUAGGUUUGUUUCUCUUCUUUCUCUUUUUUCUUGUGGAAUUAUGUUAUAGUUAAUUAUUUUAUGGAGUUAAAUUUUUAAUAAGUUGUCUUCAAUUCUUCAUUCUUCUUUAUGCUCACAUUUUAUGUGAAGGAAACUUUCAGACAAGCUAUUGUGACUAGUGACUUACAAAUUGAAACACUGAGUAUCCACAUAAUAUUACUUUGAGAGAUAGUAGUUUAGACGUCUUAGUAAUUUGCCAACUUAAUUUUAAUUGGAACUACUCUAUGACCAUUAUUUCUUUUUAAUCUUUUUAGUGAAAAUAUUUAAUUUUUUUUUCAAUCACAUUAUAAUUGUAAAAAAAGCGAGAAAAAAAAUGAAAAAUCAAAAAAAAUUGAUCAAAACCGAAAUAUAAAAACCGAUUGUAUAUUGAUUUGAUUUGGUUUAUAGAUUUAGAAAACCGACAUUGUUGGUUUGGUUAUAUUUUAAUGAAAAAUCGAACCAACCCGACCUAUGUACACCCCUAGUUGUUGUAAUGGAAUAAAGGGGGAAGUGAGGAUUUGGGCCUGGUAUGAUUGGGCUUGGAUUGGGUGGGUGCUGAUUUGUUGUUGAUGUCGAGCCGUUGGCUGGAGCAAAGGAGGUGUUUAGUGGCUGUUGUGUUAGGCCUAGGGUAGUGGAGGUGUUAUGUUGGGCUGUUGGUUAGAGCAAAGAUGGCUAUUUUAAUUAAAAAUAGGGAAUGGGUUGGGGGGAUAUUAAAUAUUGUUGGAUAGAAUUAGGAUUUAGGGAUUUUGGCUACUUAACAAAUAGCCAAUCAAUGAAAAAAUUUGAAAAUUAUAUUAAAUUUUAACCCAAUUAAAAUUCAAUUUGACCAAUUGCAUUGCAAUUAUAACCGAAUUAAUUUCAACUAAGGUUCAAUUUGAUAAAUUGACUAAAUUAAACAAUAUUUGAAAUGAAUUAACGACCAACUCAAUCCCGAGCUUCUUGAUUCAAUAAAAUUAAAUAAAUAUUUCUCCAAAUAAAUUAUUUUUGAGAUAAAUUAUAUUCAGGUCAAAAUUUUAACCAUUUAAUCAGUUUUCAAGAUAAUACUUGAUUAAAAUCUAAAUUUUGUAAAUUGAUAAUUUAAGUAACGGAAUUAUGCAAUCACUUAUAUAUGGAUACGAAAAAAUAUAAUCGAUAUUUAAAAUGACAAAAUCACCUAGGUAAAUACUUGGAAAAAAUUUUAUCCGAAUAAAAUAAAUGUUGUAAUUUUAUUUAAAAGUAAAGACACCCAAGAUUAAACUUAGUCGUGGGAGAAAAAAAUUAGGUGUCAACAAAUGAAAUUGAAAUGGCAUGAUGAUGUUACCUUGCAAAUGUAGUUGGUAUGACAAUACCAACAGUGUAUGCCUUAAGGUGUAUGAUGGUUUAAUGAAUGAGAAUGUAUGAAAAGUGUUUUAAUUGGGCUUAAAAGAGGGAUGCGUAGCCGGGCUGUAAAAGUGGAGGUAUCAAGAAACCAAUACUGGAAUCGUGGUUGCCGAUACAUGGGUCUAAUGAUCGGGUGGUUUGAGUCCCUCUUACUAUAUGAUUGGGUGGUUCGAGUCCCCCAUGUUAAAGAACUAGGUGUUUAAGUCACCUUUGAUAUAUGCCGGGAGGUUAAAGUCCCCCAUGGGAUUCAUGUAUUGGGGCCCUUUCACCCGGAGGAAAGCCGAAUUCAUAUAGCCCGUGGGUGCCUUAUUAUGACGGUUAUGCUACACAACUCAGGUUAAGAUAUUAAAACAAUACAUGCUAAGGCUUGUUCCUUAUCCCAACAUUUUAUAUAAGUAUAUUUAUAUGUAUAUAUGUAUGUGAACAUGUACAUUGAGUGGAACUAGAUUUGAAUUUUCAUUACCUUAUCCUUAUUCCUGAGUUACAUGUUAGUGCUCAACCCACUAACCAUCUUCGAAAGUUGUAUCCCAACGUGAUACAGAGUCCAAAGACAAAUUUAUUUUUUUACUCAGUGUUAAGUGGAUCUGCUCGGUUCGUUGGUCAUUUGCGGUGAAGUUGUGAGCUUCUAUUCUCAGAAAGACUUGAUCAUUCCAUCGGUUUUCUUUCAUAACUUAGAAUUAAAGACUUCACAUUAAUAUUAUUAUUGUCAUUAUCUUUAUCAGAUUCAGGGACGUAUCCCGAUCUAGAUUAUUUUCGGACUAGUAGAGGCUUCAUAGAUAUUACUAUGUAUUGGGUAUUGGUGUUGACAUUCUUAGAUGUCUUUGAGUCUAUUACCUUUCUAUUUUGUUAUAUAUUUGGAAUUUAGUCACUUCUAGGUGUUAUGUUCUAUGUUAGCUAAGCAAAGGAAGUGUUCUUCGAUCCUUGGUGGACUUGGGAUACCCGUCACGACCUGGUCCUGGUCUGGGUCGUGACACAGUUGGUAUCAGAUCCUAGGUUUGGUGUCAUUUGGUGUCCACAAAGCCACGUGAAGUAGAGUCUCUUUUAUGAGUGUGUAGUACACCACAAUUAUAAGAGAGAGGCUAAGAGGCAUUUAGGAAUAUUUUUCUUUUCUUGUGAUCUUCUUUUGAUCUGUAGAGUCUAGGGUGUUGAAAUCUUCUCUAAUUCUCAUUUGUUUGCUUUUUCAGAUCAUGACUCCCAAAAGAUCUGAUGCUCGUGGAAACUCCUCUAUCCCGCUUGAGGACAAUGUGGACAGGACUCGUCCUACUAAUAGAGUUCAGUCUCGGUCUAGGAUCACUACUUCUGAUUACCCUAGUAGAGUUCCACCGGCCCCACUGAUCCUUCUCCCGCUGGCAACACUCCUGCUCAGUCACCUCCAAGAGAUAUUACUAAUGAUAAGUUCGCCUGUUUUAUUCAUCUGUUGACCUAAUUGGUGACAUCUCAAUCACGUCAGUGAUGCUGUUAGUUCUUCCGAGACCACUAGGGUUGGCCAAUUUAUGAGGCUGAAUCCUCUGACCUUUACUGGUUCUAAGGUUGACGAGGAUCCUUAAGGGUUCAUAGAUGAAAUAAAAAAGAUUUUUCGUGUGAUGCAUGCUUCUGAUUGUGAGGGUGUGGAUUUCACUGCAUACCAACUAAAUGAUAUGGCGUAUUAGUGGUAUGAGGAGUAGAAAUAGUAUAGGGGUGAUGAUGCGGAGUUGGCAUUAUGAGAGGAUUUUUUUGGUGUUUUUCUUGAUUGUUUCUUUCCACAACAGUUGAGAGAGACGAAAGCUGAGGAGUUCGUGAAUUUGAAGCACAGAAAUAUGAUUGUGAAGGAGUAUGCUUUGAAGUUUCAUCAGUUGUCCCGUUAUGCUCCUAAGCUAGUGUUUAGCAUAAGGGCUUAAAUAAUGAAGUUUGCUUCGAGCUUAUCUGUGGACUAGGUGUUGAAGCACAAGGCCGCAAGACUGAACAAUGACAUAGAUAUCUCUAGGCUUGUGGUGUAUAUGAAAUGGGUCAACAAGGAAAAGAAAAAGCUAGUAGAAAUAGGGGAAAGGCAGAGUAAGAAGUUUUAGUAUUCGGAUCAGGGUGUAGGUCAGUAGCAGAUUUAUAGAGAUGGUGGAAAAUGGUCUAAGAAGAAGUGGAGAAAUUCUGAUUCUUAUUCUAUGGCGAAUGCCCCAUACCCUAAGUCAUUCGGUGACCGUUACUUUUAGAGAAAUAGUGGAUUUAGGUCACAAGAUGCCCAGUCUCAGGCCAACGAAGCUCAGUUGGCCCCGCCUUAUCCCCCUUGUCAUUUUUGUGGGCAGGUACAUCGUGGGGUAUGUGAUGAGGUAAGUAAUAAGUGUUUUAAGUGUGGUCAUCUUGGUUAAAUACAAUGAUAUUGUCCUUCCAAGGUCGCUUCUAGAGCUAACAAGGUUAUUAUACCUACUUCUUCAGCUCCUGCACCAAAGGGUGCUACUUUUGGCUCUGACACUGGUCGAAAUCGUCUGUAUGCUCUUGCCACCCAUCAGGAUUCUGAGGCAUCUUCUGUUGUUUUUACUGGUACGCUAACAAUUUUCUAUAGUGUCUGCUUGAUCCCGGGUUUACUCUUUCUUACGUGACCUCUUUUGUUGCUAUUCAUUUUGGUUUUGGUCCCGAGUGUAUUCCAAAUCUCUUUUUUGUGUCCACCCUAGUGGUUGGCUCUUUUAUGGCUAGAAGAGUCUAUAGGAGUUGUAUGGUAUCUAUUUAUCGCAGGGAGACCUUAGUGGAUCUAAUUGAGUUGGAUAUAUUAGAUUUUGAUGUGAUCUUGGGAAUGGAUUGGUUCUACUAAUGUUAUGCCUCUCUUGAUUGCCGGACCAGAAGGGUCAGCUUCCAAUUCUCGAGUGCACCGGUGAUUGGGUGGGAAGGUAGUUCCUUAGUACCUAAGGAAAGGUUAAUUUCUUAUCUUAGAGCCCGGUGGUUGAUCUCCAAGGGGUGUCACUGCCAUUUAGUCCAUGUUAAGGAUUCUAUUUCGAUUGUCCUUCGUUGUAACUUGUCCCUGUGGUCUGUGAGUUUUUUAGGUGUUUCCUAAUGAUCUUCCUAGUGUUCCUCCUAAUAGGAAAAUUAAUUUUGGGAUUGAUCUUCUUUUAGACACUUAUCCUAUCUCUAUCCCUCCCUAUAUAAUGGCUCUGACUGAGUUGAACGAACUUAAGGAGCAGUUGAAAGAUCUCCUUGAUAAAGGUUCUAUUCGCCCUAGUGUCUCUCCGUAGGGCACUCCGGUACUGUUCUACAUAGAAAAGAAUCCAAGUGUAUGCUUUGUUAGACAUAGUAAUGUUUUGACGUUCCUUUGAGAUGAAAAUUCAGAACAACGAGCAAAGAAGACAGGAAUGUGUGUAUGCAUACUUAGUUUAAUGAAAAUAUCAUCAUCAUCAUCAUAAUAUAAUAAUAAUAAUAUAAUAAUAGUAAUAAUAAUAAUAAUAAUAACAAUAAAAACCAUAGAUGGCUAUUUUUCAAAAUAUAUCCAAUUUUCAAUUACAUAUUUUGCACAGAGCUACAAAUAUUUCCAUGGAUCACCUGUCAUUUUUUAGACAACAUAACAACAUAUUCAAGCAUCACUUAUUGAUUUUGCUAGAAAGAUCAAAACGACAUAUUUUGAUGGGCAUCAAAACUUCUAAUUCUACCAUAAAAAUCAGGUUAUCAAGACAUAAUAAUAGACCAUAGAGGGAAAGAAAAAAAGAGCUUGAAAAUAUACCAAAACAAAUACUAAAAACAGACCAAAACAAACACACCUAAUGAUCAAAAUUUCAACAUCUUUCAAACUGCUCAUAUUCAUAUCAUCAUAACAAGCAAAACUUACUUCUUUAAGAUAAUCAUCACCAAUAUGCAUAAGAUAGAUUGAAGUCGAACAAAUAGAAGCAGAGAAAAUUCAGGCUUAACUUACAAAGUUGUUUACACAAAAUAAAAUAUAACCACCGAGAAAAGGGAUAGAGGAAUCACCUCUUUCUGGACAGCAAAUCGAAACUACGAGCUCUUCAUCAGAUUAUUACUUCACCACCACCGAAAUAAAUUUGUAUUCUUAGCCUAUAAAUUCAAGCUCAAACGAGUCUUAUCAAAAUUUUUGAUACUGAAAUCCUUCUUCGAAUAGCAAAAUCCCAUGCUUUUCGAGGUUCUCGCUAUCCGACCUUUCUCUAACCUCAUUCAAUGACAGCAAUAGAGGUAUAUAAAGGAAGGGAUUUGAGCUCAAUUUAGAGCUCUUUAACGAUGUGGGAUAAAAUAAUUUAGGGUACGUUUGGAUAUUUUUGAAAGGGAAUUUCGAAUAGAGAGUUGGAUAAGAUUAAGUUAGAAUCGUACAAAUCAGUACAAAUUUUUUAAAUUCAAACAGGUAGCUUUUGCUGGCUACAACUGCGUCGUUUUGUGACUGAUUCAAGUUGCUUAUGGGUUAGUUGAAUUUGUUGUACAUCGGGUCAGAUUGGUGGUGGGUUGAAGCUGCUGCUGAGCCAUUUCUCAUCAGCUAGUGUUGUUAUCGUUGGGUUGUUGGGUUGUUAUUGUGAACGUUGGAUCGUUGUACUGUGAUGAGUAAAGGGAAAAAGAUCAGGUCGGGUAAGCUGGUUAUGGGUUGAAGUGUCGGGUCGUGGAUAGGUUUGGAGUGGGCCGGGGCCAACUGAUUGGGCUGGGGAGGUUAAAUGGGGCUACUGUUGAUUG